AUGACCCGGAUUUUAAAAAUAUUUUUAUUAAUAUUAUAAAUGAUUUUCUUAAAAAGAAAGGAAUAAGAUGUAAUAUUUUAUUCCAGUUUAAUGAGUUUUCAAAAUUUUAUAUUAAACCCCGGGUUAUGGUGUUAUUGAUAAAUGAUUAUAUUUUUAAAACUGAUUUUCAUAUAUUGUUUCGAAAAUUCUAGAUGAUUAUUAUGUGAAUAUAUGUGUGAUGUGAGUAAGUGGUAUUGGUGGAUUUGUUGGUUAAUUAAUUAUGGUUAAUUAUGAGUAUUAUAUGAUUAAUAUAUGAAUUUUUGUGAAUUUUAUAUUAUCUGGUUUAUUGCGUUAACUGAUCAUAUGUGUUCGUAUUUGAGAGAGUUCAAUUUCUAUAUGCUCAGGAGAAAAUAUAGUUUAUUUGGAUAUUUUCAUAUCGAUUUAUGGAAUGUUAGAUGAUUUUAUAAUCGAUUUACGGAUUUAAUUGUGUAUAUCUAUAUUUAUUUAUUAAUUAUUUGACUUCCGUAAAACCGUCCACUCGUAACGAGGUAGAAAAUUUUCUUCCCGGGAGUUUCAACAAAACUCACCUUUAGCCUAAUUUGAAUAUUCCGGACAUUUUUCGUGUUUUGACUUUUUCGAUCCGGAGUACGGUUUUCCCUGGAGUCGGUCCGGCGGAGUUUUUCGGGUAUUGUAAUUGUCGAUAAUUAUCCGUUUGUCUCGAUAAACGUGAAACGGGAUAUUUUCUUCAUCCUUAUCAUGUAAUAAUUGCAGUGGGACCCGCAGACCAAUAAUUGAGUUAAAAAGCCCCGUUUUGAUGAUUAUCUUGAAAACUAGUACCGAUUGGACCCCAUUUUCUUAAUAUAAAGUUAUUAAAUACGUAUUUUCAUGCCAUAAACGAUCCAAAGGGGUACCAAUUAUUUGUAAAUAUAAAUAUACCUUUUUAGAGCUUAUUUUCACCCGUAAAAUCAUUUCACCGGUUUCUCUGCACGAAAACCGAGAGAAACCGAGCGGUGUUCUUCGUGUUCUUCAUAAUCAAACGAAGAUUUGAAGGCGUUAUUGGAGUCAGAAUCAAGCGUGCGAAUAGUCAAAUCGAAGAUAUCGAAGAGUAGAAUCUAUAUCUGCAAUCAAAAACAACCUGAGAUUCACAGGAUUUGGACGAGACGUGUAUGCCCGAAGACGUUCAGAAAGUCACGUGGUGUUACAAAGCGAAUAAGGGAUGAAUCAAGUAAGCGAAGCGAAGAUGUACGGUAGAUAGAGUAUAGCCAGAGAUGGCCUAGAGACUAUGAUAUGCAUAAAGUAUGAGAUUGUGAAAGUGGAAAGAUGAGAAUGAGCUGUGAGACUGGAGUCAGGUUUAAGAAAGGCUGAAAGAUGAGAUGAUUGGCUGAGAUUGUGAAUAAGGCUAAUGUUAGACGAGGAGACAGAGUUGAGGAUCCAGUGGUCGAGGAGUGUUCAGGAAAGUGAUGAGAUUGGUGCAAGCUAGAGUGUAAGUCAUAGCUGGAAUAGCUGACAGUGAUUCUUCUUAUCGAAGAUGAUCUGACUUGGUAAGAGAUGUUGUGUAAUAUUAGUGGUGGAUUCUAAUUUCAAUACUGUAACCUGGAAGCGAUCCUGUUGUUUUUGGGGGUUAAAAAUGUUCUCUUUCGAAUCAUUUAUUAAAUUUUAAAGGUUCUCUGGAAAUUCUUUUAUUAUGGUUUUCAAGUUUGAAAUUCAGGUUUUGAAAUCGUCUGAUUUAUGUUCUCAUUCAAAGUUUUUAUUAAAUGUUUUCAAGUUUUAAAUUCUUUUGGAUUUUCAUUAUCUUUAAAUGAAAAUACCAGGUUUCAAAAGUAUUUUAAAAAGGGUUUUGUGUGGUGACGUCAGAAUCCAGACCCCCGGAUUCCCGGACCGUCACAGUUGGUAUCAGAGCCACAGGUUACAAGUUAUUGGAAUUUGAAUAUAGAUUAUAGUUUUAAGUUUUAUAUAGGUUAGACGUAGUGUGACCUCGUAUCGAGGUAUUGUGAGACUAUUUGGACAUAGUCUAGAGAUGUGAGUGAAGCAUAGAGUCUAGUUAAAUGAUCAAAUUAAGUGUGGAUAUUUAAAGAGAUUAGGAUUCUUAAGGUUAGACAUAUGAUUUCUAGUAUGUUGAUUAAUUAAGAUGGUGAAUUGUGGAAAAGGUCAGUAUUAGACCUAGACAGAAGAGUUUGAUAAUGAAUGAUUGAGUUGAGAAUGGUGAAAAUGCAGAGUUCAGAGUAUUCUGACUAUACUGCAUAGUUGAAAAUGGUCUAUUGUAUUGAAUUGAGAAUGAUAUAAAUGCAUGGUUCAUAGUAUGUUGACCAUGUCAGAUAUUUGGAAGAUGUAUAUUGUUUUGAGUGAAGAUAUGAAGAGUUACUGUAAGAUCUGAAUUGUAUUGAAUCAGAAGGAGAGAUUUGUAGAUAGAGGUUGAUAGAUGAGAAGUCAAUGAUAGAGAGUACGUGGAAUUGAGUCCAGUUAUUAGAGAUGAUGUCUACGAGUAAGUUAGAACGUUAGUCCUCGACGACAACGCUUCGAGCUAAUCGGGAUUUCAAAUGGCAUCAGGGUGGGCCCAUAACCCACAGGUUGAUGAUCCAGACAAUCGAUGAUAUGCUACGUGUUUUGCUAUUGACUUCACAGAUAAUGGGGAUGAAGUGGAGGCCAAGACUUAUUACGAACGAUAACGUCUACGAUGAAAUUCUACAAGGUUGCUACAAAUGCACGUCAAUCGACUAUCGAGAACGUUGAAAAGAUGACAUAAAUUGAAUAACGAUUUCAUGGGGUAGAGUGGAAAUUGGAGAAGACCUUGGCAAUACCUCUCUUCAACUAAAGAUUCUUUUGAUUGUUUUCUCAUCAGUGAGAUAUUAUCAUGAUGUCUUUUCUACAAAAGUUUUGAUAAAUGAGAUCUUCAAUUUCUCAAAUUCUAAGAUGAUAUUGGUAUUGACUAUUGGUAUGAGUUGGAAGGCAAAGAUGUGUGAUAAAGGUUGUUGUGAAGAGACAGUGAUGUUUCUUGAUAUUGUUUAACAUUUCUUGACAUUCCUUGAUACUCUUUCAUCUUCUUUGAUAUUCCUUGAUGUUCUUUGAUAUAGUUGAUAUUCCUUGACAUUCGUUGAUAUUCCUUGACAUUUCUUCAAUUUGAUUGGGAUGAACAACCCUAUUUAUAGGGGACACAAGGUAUACCUGUCUGUGUGAUAGGAGUUGGAUGGGACGCCAUCACUUGUGUGUGUUGUGAUUACAAGAAGGUUAACAACCUUUAGUAGUGUCUAAAAUGGACACGCAACAUUAAGUUCAAUUGAUCGUAUCGAUCUCCCAGUCACUCUUGUAUUCAAAUGUGACCUAAUUUCAAAACAUCUUAUUCCUCAAAAUUUUCAAAGAUUGAUUUUUGGGGAAAUGAAUUCUGUAAUUGUGAAAGUUGAUUCUCCAAAUUUCUUUAAAGUUAAAGGUAUGCCAAGGCCGAUCGAAGGUGAAUGAUGAUAAGUUAUGACGAAGCGUAUAGUGGAAUCUCCUAAGUAAUACGUUUUAGUUUCUUCGGAGGAUUCCGAGGACGGAAUCCUUAUAAGGGGGGUAGAAUGUAAUAUCCCAUAUUAUUAAAUUUACAAUUGAUUAUUAUAAAUCUAUUUGUCUAAAUAUUAUUGUUGGCUUUAGUUGAAAAGUGAAUUGAUUAUGUGAAUAGUUUUAUAUGAUUAUACUUGUUCUGUGGAUUAAUAUGGAUUAUACUGAUUAUGCGUCCUCCUUCUUUCUCUGAUUCCGAGGACGGAAUCCCUAUAAGGAGGGUAGAUUGUAAUGACCCGGAUUUUAAAAAUAUUUUUAUUAAUAUUAUAAAUGAUUUUCUUAAAAAGAAAGGAAUAAGAUGUAAUAUUUUAUUCCAGUUUAAUGAGUUUUCAAAAUUUUAUAUUAAACCCCGGGUUAUGGUGUUAUUGAUAAAUGAUUAUAUUUUUAAAACUGAUUUUCAUAUAUUGUUUCGAAAAUUCUAGAUGAUUAUUAUGUGAAUAUAUGUGUGAUGUGAGUAAGUGGUAUUGGUGGAUUUGUUGGUUAAUUAAUUAUGGUUAAUUAUGAGUAUUAUAUGAUUAAUAUAUGAAUUUUUGUGAAUUUUAUAUUAUCUGGUUUAUUGCGUUAACUGAUCAUAUGUGUUCGUAUUUGAGAGAGUUCAAUUUCUAUAUGCUCAGGAGAAAAUAUAGUUUAUUUGGAUAUUUUCAUAUCGAUUUAUGGAAUGUUAGAUGAUUUUAUAAUCGAUUUACGGAUUUAAUUGUGUAUAUCUAUAUUUAUUUAUUAAUUAUUUGACUUCCGUAAAACCGUCCACUCGUAACGAGGUAGAAAAUUUUCUUCCCGGGAGUUUCAACAAAACUCACCUUUAGCCUAAUUUGAAUAUUCCGGACAUUUUUCGUGUUUUGACUUUUUCGAUCCGGAGUACGGUUUUCCCUGGAGUCGGUCCGGCGGAGUUUUUCGGGUAUUGUAAUUGUCGAUAAUUAUCCGUUUGUCUCGAUAAACGUGAAACGGGAUAUUUUCUUCAUCCUUAUCAUGUAAUAAUUGCAGUGGGACCCGCAGACCAAUAAUUGAGUUAAAAAGCCCCGUUUUGAUGAUUAUCUUGAAAACUAGUACCGAUUGGACCCCAUUUUCUUAAUAUAAAGUUAUUAAAUACGUAUUUUCAUGCCAUAAACGAUCCAAAGGGGUACCAAUUAUUUGUAAAUAUAAAUAUACCUUUUUAGAGCUUAUUUUCACCCGUAAAAUCAUUUCACCGGUUUCUCUGCACGAAAACCGAGAGAAACCGAGCGGUGUUCUUCGUGUUCUUCAUAAUCAAACGAAGAUUUGAAGGCGUUAUUGGAGUCAGAAUCAAGCGUGCGAAUAGUCAAAUCGAAGAUAUCGAAGAGUAGAAUCUAUAUCUGCAAUCAAAAACAACCUGAGAUUCACAGGAUUUGGACGAGACGUGUAUGCCCGAAGACGUUCAGAAAGUCACGUGGUGUUACAAAGCGAAUAAGGGAUGAAUCAAGUAAGCGAAGCGAAGAUGUACGGUAGAUAGAGUAUAGCCAGAGAUGGCCUAGAGACUAUGAUAUGCAUAAAGUAUGAGAUUGUGAAAGUGGAAAGAUGAGAAUGAGCUGUGAGACUGGAGUCAGGUUUAAGAAAGGCUGAAAGAUGAGAUGAUUGGCUGAGAUUGUGAAUAAGGCUAAUGUUAGACGAGGAGACAGAGUUGAGGAUCCAGUGGUCGAGGAGUGUUCAGGAAAGUGAUGAGAUUGGUGCAAGCUAGAGUGUAAGUCAUAGCUGGAAUAGCUGACAGUGAUUCUUCUUAUCGAAGAUGAUCUGACUUGGUAAGAGAUGUUGUGUAAUAUUAGUGGUGGAUUCUAAUUUCAAUACUGUAACCUGGAAGCGAUCCUGUUGUUUUUGGGGGUUAAAAAUGUUCUCUUUCGAAUCAUUUAUUAAAUUUUAAAGGUUCUCUGGAAAUUCUUUUAUUAUGGUUUUCAAGUUUGAAAUUCAGGUUUUGAAAUCGUCUGAUUUAUGUUCUCAUUCAAAGUUUUUAUUAAAUGUUUUCAAGUUUUAAAUUCUUUUGGAUUUUCAUUAUCUUUAAAUGAAAAUACCAGGUUUCAAAAGUAUUUUAAAAAGGGUUUUGUGUGGUGACGUCAGAAUCCAGACCCCCGGAUUCCCGGACCGUCACAAUUUGUCUUUCUUUUCAUUUACUUCCGCACAUCAUAACUGCUUAAACUCUCGAUACAAGCUUUUAAAAAGGGGAUAAACUUUUUAAAAAUACACUAUUAUUUUUAAAUUGGCCAUUAAGCUAUUCAACCCCCCCUUCUAGCUUAAUUAUCCACUAUAUCGGGACCUAACAAUUUCAUGAACUUUUCUUAAUAAAAAUUUAAACAUUAAAUUUUUAUUCAAAAUAAAAAAAUUGAAAAAAAUAUUAUAAAAUUAUACUUUAUAAAAAAAUAAUGUAAAGAAGAUGCCGGGACGGAGAGAGCACGGGCGAGUCAUGAGUUAUGACAUCCCUUUCGAAGAGCAACUCCAACCCGGGUUGCCCUUGUCUAAAAAAGCCUGGCUGGCAGCCCAUUCCAAUGAUUAUCUUUCGCACCUCUCCAACGCACAAAAGCUGUUAGGUAAGAAUAUAGCCAACUCAAUUUGCAUGGCUAUAUUUGCUGAAGUUGUACAGAUAUGUAAGAGUGUCCACCUCAUCGCCCGCGUUUCUCUUCGCGCUCCCGCUCUCACCAUCUGUUGCUUGCUUCUCCACUCCCACCAGUUCUACAAGCGAGGAAUCAUAAAAAUGACAAACACGUUUAUUUCUUUACUAAGCGACGACACAUAUAAUGAAGUCGAGUAGAUUGUUUAGUCCCCAACACCCCCUUUGAUACAGGAGCAUAGUCAACAAGUGCUAACCAAACUGAAAAAAGGAUGAUCAAAGAACUUUUUGAUUGAGGAGGACAUGUUAUUAUUAUUCGGUUGGUUAAACGUUAGCUUGCACCCGGUUCAAGGCAACAAUUAGACACAAAUAACCUAUUGGAAUAGAAUUUGCAACUACUUUCAUGAAAACAAGACAUUUGCAAUUGAUCGGACGUUUACUUCCUUGUGUAAUAGAUGGUCCGCAAUAAACACUUCUGUAAGCAAAUUUAUCGGUUUUUACAACCAAUUUAGUGGAAGAAAUCAGGACGGUGUUACUUAGCAAGAUAAGCUAUUGCUCUCAUCGUUUAAACCACUUCUGAUGUAAUUUUCAUUGUGUUCUCUGCUUAUAAUUAUGUGUUGUCUUCUUUAAGUAGCUGCUUAUUUACUGAAAUUGUGCUUUAGGGAGAUAAUUAUUUGUAGUCCAAGGACUUUUAUAGUAAUAUAUAUAUGUAAACCAAACAGACCUGCCCAGUAUUAUAGUAACUAGUAGUAGCUUCAAUUCUAAGUGAUCUUAGUUUGAUGGAGCAAAUUCAGGUCCGGAAAGAGCAUGAAAUUAGCUUUGUGAAGCGGCUCUAUUCAUGCCGACAGUUGUGCAUGGCUUGUAAAAAGUGUGAGAUUAGAACUGUUAAACCAUUAAAUUUUGUUUGAGAAGUACAACAUUGCUAAUAUUAAAUAAAUUUGUAACAUUGCUAAUGGUGUUACGAACCAUUGCAAAUCUAGAUUGCAACACACCUAAUGCUCUUUCAACAUCUUUUCUCACAAAUUCUUGUGUUGACGCAAAAAACUUACUUUUAUUACCUUAAGGCCUUGGAAUAGUUUUAACAAAUGUUGGCCAAAGAGGAUAUAUACCAUCAGCAAGAUAAUAGCCCAUGUUAUAUUCAUUUCCGUUGAUAGUAUACUUCACUUCAGGUCCACGACCUUCAGCCAAAUUCUCAAAUAGAUGCGAUCGAUCUAAUACAUUGAUGUCGUUCACAGAUCUUGGUAAUCCAAAAAAAAGAAUAUCAAAUUCACAAGUCUUUUGAAGCUAUUGCUUCCAAUAUAAUAGUUGGUUCACGAACAUGACCUAAAUACAUGCCUUGCCAAACAGUAGGAUAAUUUUUCCACUUCCAAUGCAUACAAUC